GAUUCCCGGUCUCUGCCUAGGUGACCCUGUGUAAAGCGCUUGACCCAUCUGAGCCUCAGUUUAACUGUAUAAUGUUAUCUAGGGUGACUGCUGGGGUUUUCGUCCUCCAAAAUCUUUGAGCUCGGAGCUUGGCACACAGGUCUCCCUGCAUAACCCUGGCUGACCUGGAACUUGCAAUGGAGACUUGCUGGCCAGUUUCCAACCCACAGAGAUCCUCUUGUCUCUCCCUCUGAAGUGCUGAGAUUAAAGAUCUAAGGAAACGAAGAGGAGGAAAGAAGCCAGAGCAUCCAUCCUAAGGAAAACGCUUCGUGCAUCGGAGGGAGACCAGCAAAGCAGAGAAGAGGUUGGAGGGAAGUCAGGGAGCCAACAGAGUAGGAGAUUCGUGGAGCCCGCGCAUGCUUGGCCUUGGAGUUGGUCACUGCGAUCAGUCGUUCUGUCCAUUCAUUUAUAACUUACAUUUAUUUAGUAUCUACUUUGAUGUUCACCAUGUAAUGUAUGGAGACAGACAAGAAGCAGGCAAACGAGCGAAUAAAGAAAUAAA